rnacentral:rRNA from 1 species
CCCUUAGAUGUUCUGGGCCGCACGCGCGCUACACUGAACAGUUCAACAAGUCUUAACCUUGGCCGAUAGGUCUGGGUAAUCUUUGAACGCUGUUCGUGACUGGGAUAGACCUUUGCAAUUAUGGGUCUUCAACGAGGAAUUCCUAGUAAACGCAAGUCAUCAGCUUGCAUUGAUUACGUCCCUGCCCUUUGUACACACCGCCCGUCGCACCUACCGAUUGAAUGGUCCGGUGAAAUCUCGGGACGGCGGCUUGGUCGCUUGCGUCCGACUGCUGAAACUUGAUUAAACCAUAUCAUUUAGAGGAAGGUGAAGUCGUANCA